UUAAAAAAAAAAAAAAAAAAAAACCACAAAUCAUAAAAAUUUGCUCUGACAAGAAGAGUUGGGUGACGCUGGCAUUUUGUCAGUGGCAGAAGUAGCUCCACUUGCGGAUGUUUCUGUAUCUGAAUCAUCUCUGGGAAUGGGAAUGGCGUUUCUAGUCAGAAAUUCAGUGACAGAUGUCUGUAUGGUCCUUUUGCUUUUUCUUCAUGUAUUUCUCAGUAAUAUCUCCCUGCCCCCCAAAUCUGCCUAUCGACCUUAGCAAAGUGACCUGUAUUUGGGUCCAAGAUGACAGGCAGUCGAAGCCCCUGAUUUAGUUUAGAGAACUCAAUCUAUAUGGCAGCGUUUUGUCCAGUAAAUCAUAAAACUGGACAUGUGCAAGUGAACAUCUGAGAAUAACAUCAGCAAAUUACACACUGAAACAUUGAAUGUAGUACUUAUUACUAAUGAUAAGAAGUACAAAAAAAAAAAAAGGACAGUUGUAAGUGCGGCUCGUCAUAACAUGAAUACUUAGUAAGGCAGGUAGUACCUGUAUACAUAUUUAAAAUAUAUUUAACUGCCUCUUAUAUAUUUAAAUAUAUUUUAAAUAAUAUGCAUUGAAUAUAUUUAACAUACAUAAAUGUAUAUACUAUUCUAUAUCUUUUUAAUAUAUAUUAUAUAUGUGUGUAUGUAUGUAUAUUUAAACCUGAACUGUAGUCUCAGCAAUUGUUUAGUACUUGGAUCAUCAAAAGAUUUUCAGAGGGAGAAGUAUUUUAUCAAUGGCAUUGUUUAGGACUGUCAGCACAUGGUGGUAAUAAAAAGCAGGCCAACUUUUUGAAAAAUUUCGUACUUACAAAGCCAACCUUUAAUGCUGUCACUGCCCUGUUUUUGGUAGACCACUAAGCAGGAGACUGACUGCUUCUCCUGUCUGAGGAUUAAGAGGUCAGAGCCCAAUCGAACGCACAGGAUUUGCCAGGGGAUUGGAUGGGAACUGUGCAAGAGCAAAUAACUCCUAGGUUUGCAGUGUGCACGAAUAGAACGAAGCUGCUAUUUACUCAGAUGAGGAGGAGUGGGAAGGAGUACAGUUUUGUGCAGGGACUUAAGAGGAUGGUUUGAACAUGUCAGCUCUGGGAUGUCUAUUAGUCAUGCAAGCGGAGCUAUGAAGUCGCCUGUCAGAUCUGAGAGCCUGGCAUUCAGGGGAGGUCAGAGUUGAAGAUUUAUAUCUGGAAACUAUUAGCACGUGGAAGAUAUCAAAGCCACGGCAGUGGCCGAGAAAUCAUGGAGACUGAGGUAGAGAAGGCAAAGCACUUGGGGACUGAGGCCUGGGCACUCUGUUGUUUAAAGCGGGACUUCGAACCAGUUCUUUCCAGUUUGGUCAUGGCUGAGGAAUCGAAAUCAGAACAGACUUGAAUUUUUAAAAUUUGGGUGAACUGAAAUGGGAAAAAUUACAAAUCGAAGACCUGCUAGAAAUCUAGCCUUCCUCUUAGAAAACAAGGGCAGCGUAAGCUUUGCAUGGCACCCAAAUAUCUUGCCCGUCACAUUUUGAGAAGAGUUGGAAACAGUAGUACUUCGCUCAAAGAUGGCUGUGGAGCGCAUGGCUUUGAAAGUGUGUCACUCUCCACCGUCCUGCCAAUAAUCCGGUCGCGUGCAUCAGGCUCCUGAAGAGGCUCACUAGGCCUCUUCUGAGUCUCCCAUUGCACGGCUUCCACCCGCUAAUUUUUCCCAUUCCAGCUAUUGUUCUGGAUCACCCAAAUUGUAAAAAUUCGGAUCUGAUCCAGUUUCUCUUCUUUGGCCGUCACUGAACUGGUUCGAACCGGUUCAAAUCCCUGGUUAAAAGGCCAGGAAGGUGAGGAGAAGCCGGCAUAGCAGAUUGACAAGGAACAGCAGCUGGGGAAGAAGAGAAACAAGUGAGAGUGGAGUCCUGGAGGACAAGUGACGAAGAUUCCCAGGAGGCAAAGCACUCAACUGUGUCAGAUACUGUGGACUGAUUGAGAUAAGGACUGAGAAGAGCCCACAGGAUUUGGCAACCUGGUGGUCUUUGGUAAUAUUGACAAAAACUAUCUAAUUGGAGUGUGAGGUUUCAAGCAUGACUGGAGUGGGGCCAUGAGAGCAUAGCAGCAGAGGAAGAGCGUGACAGGAAUAACUCAAGGAUUCAUUUUAUGUAAAAGAAAGCUGAGAAGUAGGGUGGUAGCUGGAGGGACGUCUGGAGCUAAGAGAUUGUUGUUGUGGUUGUGUGUGGUUGUUGUGAUCGUUAUGUGUGUGAGUGUGUGUGUAUGUGUGUGGGUUUUAAGAUGAGAGAUAUUUCAUCCUCUCAUCUUUACGUUCUGGUGGGAGGAAUCUCACAGAUAGGGGAAAAAUGAUGAUGCUGGGGAGAGAAGACGCCUGCAGGAGAAAUGUCCUUGAGAAGCUGAGAGGGGUCGGGAUCUAGGGCCCAAAUGGAGAGGGAGGACAGAAUGGACAGGGGCAGAGUAAGGGUGUUGGUGGAUCUGGCCAUGGGACUAUACAGAAGUGCUCUUCCAAUUGUUACUGUUUGUUAAUGAAAGAAAGGACAUCAGCUGAAUGUGAGGAAAAGCAAACUUUUUGGAGGUUUGAGGAUAGAAGAGCAGUUGUGACAGUCAUCAAGGAGAGCUGAAAAUGAAUGGGCUAGACUAUCAGUUGUUAAAAUGUCAUCUGGGGGACCCCUGACACCCUUUGGGGGAUGUUCAUCAUUUGCCUGAUUCUCUCUCAUUCUCCCAGGAGUUUACAGUGGAGUUUUUCAGAGGCUACAUGAUGUGUGAUGACACCAUCGCUCUGACAACUACUUUAUUUUUACGCAAAUAACGACCCCUUCUGCCUUUUUUUGUUGGCCAUGCCUCCACAACCCCUGCCCCCCAAUGUAUUUUUGUAAGCGUGCUAUGCUCAUUUUUUUUUUCUUUUGCAGCUACCUGUGGAAGAGGAUUGGUAUGGCAUGCCUCACAGCGGGAGGGCGCGGCCAGCAAAUAUAUGCAGAGGUCACACGUUAGUUGUGUAAAAAUACAAUGAUGGAAUGUGAACUUGUCAAUUCUUAUGCUUUAACAAUUUGUUUUAAUUUCUAAUUCAGUAACUAGCCCAUAGCUAUAACCCACAUAAACAAAAGCUCUGUGGGUCCUCAGUAAAUUUUGAGAAUGUAAAGAAGUUCUGUUCUAGAUAGCAGAGAAAAAGGAGGAAGGAAUUGUAGGGCACAGACUUAAGGUCCUACAAUAGGUUUUUAGUUAUGACUGAAAAGUAAGAUUAGUAAACAUGGUUUCGUAUUUUUCUCUAACCAAGUUCAGUUGCCUAACUGAAGCCACAAUUGGCUGUAAUUGUGGAUGGAGUAUUGCCAGUUGAGAAGAGAGUGGAGAAGAAGCAAGGAACACAGAACUAACUCACACUAGGUGCAUUCAUCCACCUGGGGCUAGAGGGCUAGACUAUGCUGUUGCCAUAUUUCUGCCCAUUGUGGGGUCCACAGAACUGUGUUCCUGACAGAUGAGGUCACACGUCCAUGAAAACGCAGCAGUUGGUUGCCGAGGGCAUCUUAUAGCCAGGCCCUGUGCCGCAUUUGGAAAUUCCAACCCUCAAGGAGCACAGCAUCCAGCUGGAAUGAGGAACAUCAGGCCGUGUAAAGUCAACGCUGGGGAGCUGCCAGUGCAGCCAGAGUGAGGGAUAUUCGGUCUUGUGUUUGUCUGGCCAUUUUAUUUGGAGCUGAGGAACCCAAGAUGGGCAGGUCAGAGAGCGAGGCUGUUUCUCCCAGGCUGCAAAGAUUGACAAACUCCAAGACUGACAGGCAAGACUGCAGUUGGCUGUUUCCUUCAGGGCUAGAAAGACAUCCCCGUUUGUCUCGAAGACCCACAGGUGGGAUGCUCUGCGGAGGAAGAGGUUGGAUAAACACCAGGCUGACUCUAGCCUCGGGGCCUGAGAGGUAAUUCUUUGUUCUGGAGAUAUCCUGCACUUUUUUGGACGUUUAGAAGCAUCCCUAGCCUCUAUCUGCUAGACACGGGUGGGCACCAGGAAGUGAAAACCAAUUCUACCCUUGGUUCUCAUAAGAUACCAGAGAAACUGACUGAAAAAAAAAAGAAAUACUUGAAUUGGUUAUUCAACAUUAUUGGAUAUAUUUGUUAUUGUCAUUGGUUGCUGCUGAGUUGAAUCUGACUCACGGCGACCCCAUGUGGGCGGAGUAGAAUUGUACCCCACGGGGUUUUCAAAGACGUGAACUUUGCGAAGCAGAUCACCAAGCCUGUCCUCUGAGGUGCACUGGAUUGGUGGAGGGCAAAGUCACUGACGUGGUCUAUGAACGCUGGCAUUUGAACGUUGGGGAUUCUUGCGGCCUGCUUUGUCAGGAAAAAAUAUUUCUUUCGUUUUGCUUUUUGUUUAAAACCAAAGCCAUCAUGCUCAAUGCUUCUGACUUGGCUGCACAACAAGCAAUAACAUGCCCUCCAGAAAGACCUAGGAAGGAAAAGCCUACCGGCAUGGCAAACUGCCUCCGCUUCUCACCCAAAACAGAGGGACCUGGGCUACUGGCUUCUGACCUACCUCAUGGCUCAUGGCAUCUCUUGUGAACUCCUAGUAAUGGGUGUUAACCUCAGCCAGUUGCUUUGCCUUUAUGACCCUCACUCCCAAUUUGAAUCAUAGGCUCCACAGUUGCCUGCUCUCUAGAUUCUGGUGACAACCUACCAUCCUGCUCUUCUGGCUCUCACUACACUCAUUGCCCAAACACAGCACACACCUGAGGGGGUGAGUGAAUCUUUCAUCAUUUUGAUGCUAAAGUCAGUACAUUCCAAGUACCAAAAGAGAGCAUAUUUUAACACAAUCGCCCUGACCCAUCCCCUGAACCCCUUAACAGGAUUUACAUAUGUUUAUUAACGAUCUGGAAACCCUGUUGGCGUAGUGGUUAAGUGCUACGGCUGCUAACCAAAGGGUCUGCAGUUUGAAUCCUCCAGGCGCUCCUUGGAAACUCUAUGGGGUAGUUCUACUCUGACCUAUAGUCGGAAUCGACUCAACAGCACUGGUUUUGGUUUGGUUUGGUAUUAACGAUCUAUUUUUCCCAAAUUAAGUUUUUUUUUGUGUGUGUGUGGUAAAAACAUAUAUAAUGAAACACUUAUCAACAAUUUUGACAUGUACCAUUCAGUGACUUUAAUUACAUCAUCUGUCAUGUUGUGUGACCAUCACCACGAUCCAUUUCCAAAUAGUUUCAUCACCUUAACAGAAACUCAGGGCCCCCUAAGCAAUGACUUCCACUUUCCUCCUCCCCACAACCACUGGAAACCACGAAUAAACUUUGUUCUCCAUACAUUUGCGUAUUCUAGAUAUUUCAUAUAAGUGGGAUCAUGCAAUAUCUGUCCUUUUGUGGCUGACUUAUUUCACUCAGUGUGUUUUUAAUAUUCAUCCAUGUUGUAGUAUGUAUCAGGACUUAAUUUAUCUUUAUGGUGAGAAAUAUUCUUUUUUUUUUAAAUUGUACUUUAGAUGAAGGUUUAUAGAACAAACUAGUUUCUCAUCAAACAGUUAGCACACACAUUGUUCUAUGACGUUGGUUAAUAACCCCAAGACAUGUCUACACUCUCCGCUCUCAAUCCUGGGUUCCCUAUUACCAGCUCUCCUAUUCUCUCCUGCCUUCCAGGCCCUGCCCCAGGGCUGGUGCACCCUUUAGUCUUGUUUUGUUCCAUGGGCCUGUUCAAUGUUUGGCUGAAGAGUGAACUUCAGGAGUAACUUCGUUACUAAGCUGAAAGGAUGUCCAGGGCCAUACUCUCAGGGUUUCUCCAGUCUCUGUCAGGUCAGCAAGUCUGGUCAUUCUUUUUGAGUUAGAAUUUUGUUCUACAUUUUUCUCCAGUUCUGUCUGGGACCCUCUAUUGUGAUCCCCGGCAGAGCAGUCAGUGGUGGUAGCCAGGCACCAUCUAGUUGUGCUGGACUCAGUCUGGUGGAACCCCUGGUAGAUGUGGGCCAUAAGUCCUUUGGACUAAUCUUUCCCUUGUAUCUUUAGUUUUCUUCAUUCUUCCUUGCUCCCAAAAGACCAGUGGAAUAUCCUCGAUGGCUGCUCACAGGCUUUUAAGACCCCACGCACUACCCAUAUUGUGAGAAAUAUUGCAUUGUGUAUAUAUUUUGCUUAACUAUUCGUCUGUUGAUGGACAUCUAGGUUUUUCCCACAUUUGGCUAUUGUGCUGCAAUGAAUAUUGGUGUACAAGUUUCUGUUUGUGUUCUUCCUUUUAAUUCUUUUGAGCGAAUACCUAGGAUUUGGGUUGCUGGAUCCAUAUGGUAGUACUAUGUUUAACUUUUGAGGAACCGCCAAACUGUUUUCCAUUGUGGCUAUGCCAUUUUGUAUUUCUACCAGCAAUGGAUGAGCGACAAAUUAAGUCUUGAGAGCUCUUCUUAUCUGAUCUAGGACAUUUUGGAGAUAUGAAAUUAAUGUCAGCGUUAACAGUCAAAACAAAACAAACUCCACAAAGACCAAAUUUUCUGUGAGGUUUACUUUUCUGAAUCCCUCAAGAAGCAGUGCACAAUAGAAAUUCUUAUUGUCUUCCCAUCUUGUGUUUGAUGGUGAUAGCUUUUCUUAACAGUUAUUCUAAAAAGAAGGUACUUAGUGAAUUCCUUAAUGCAGAAGGACUGAUUUUAUUUGCUAAACAUCUUCCACUUAAUCGUGGAUGAAUAUAACAGAAUGCUUUUGAGGCCUGCUAGACCGUUUAAAGGAAACCCUGGUGGCAUAGUGGUUAAGUGCUACAGCUUGUAACCAAAAGGUCAGCAGUUCGAAUCCACCAGGUGCUUCUUGGAGACUUGAUGGGGCAGUUCUAGUCUGUCCUAUAGAGUCGCUAUGAGUCGGAAUUGACUCAACAGCAAUGGGUUUUUGGUAUGCCAUUUAAGUCAGGAAGCAUCAUGUAACAUAUUGCUAAAUGAACAGAAUCAUCUGGGAAGGAACAUAGGUCAUAGGAUCUGGGUUUGACUUCCCAGUGUGCUAUUUUCCUGAUGUAAAAUAUUUAGCUUCGCUAUGCCUCAUUUUCCACCACCCAUCUGUAAGUUUGUCAUAUUGUGGUGAUUCGUGUGUUGUUAUGAUGCUGGAAGCUGUGCCCCCAGUAUUUCAAAUACCAGCAGGAUCACCUGUGGUUUUUGCAGAGCUUCCAGACUAAGGAAAACUAGGAAGAAAGGCCAGGUAAUCUGCUUCCUAAAAUUAGCCAAUAAAAAGCUUGUGGAUAACAACAGAUUUUUUGUCCAGCUUGCUUACUUUGGACACAUCACCAGGAGAGAUCACUUGCUGGAGGAGGACAUCAUGUUCGGUAAAAUAAAGAGUCAAGAAGGGUGUGGGAAACACUUGGUGAGAUGGAUUGGCACAGUAGCCACCAUGAUGGACUUGAACACGCUGGCAAUUGUAUGACAUGGAACUGUACAACAUUCCAUUCUGUUGUACAUAAGGUCACUGUCUUAGUUAUCUAGUGCUGCUAUAAAUGAAAUACCACAAGUGGAUGGCUUUAACAAAGAGAAAUUUACUCUAUCACUAUCUAGGAGGCUAGAAGCCCAAAUUCAGGGUGCCAACUCCAGGGGAAGGCUUGCUUUCUCUGUUGGCUCUGGGGGAAUGUCCUUGUCAUUAAUCUUCCCGUGGUCUAAGGGCUUCUCAGUGCAGGAACCCUGGGUCCAAAGGACACACUCCCUUCCUGGUUCUAUCUACUUGGUGGCAGGAGGGGUCCCCCUCCUCUCUGCUCAUUUCUCUCUCUUGUAUCUCAAAAGAGAUUGACUCGAGAUACAAUCUAAUCCUUUUUAUUGAGUCUUGCCUCAUUAACAUAACUGCUUCUAAUCCUACCUCAUUCACACGAUACAACACAGGAUAAUCACAUCAGAUUACAAAAUGGUGGGCAGCCACACAAUACUGGGAAUUGUGGCCUAACCAAGUUAACACACGUUUUGGAGGGACACCAUUAAAUCUAUAACAGUCACCAUGAGUUGGA